UCUACGGGUGGCAGCAGUGAGGAAUAUUGGUCAAUGGUCGGGAGACUGAACCAGCGAAGCCGCGUGAGGGAUGAAGGUACAGAGUAUCGUAAACCUCUUUUGUCAGGGAACAAAGGCGGGGACGCGUCCCCGGAUGAGUGUAGCUGAAGAAAAAGCAUCGGCUAACUCCGUGCCAGCAGCCGCGGUAAUACGGAGGAUGCGAGCGUUAUCCGGAUUUAUUGGGUGAAAGGGGGGCGCAGGGGGUCUGUUAAGUCAGCGGUCAAAGCCCGGGGCCCAACCCCGGCCCGCCGUUGAAACUGGGAGUCUCGAGUUGGAGAGAAGUAGGCGGAAUGCGCGGUGUAGCGGUGAAAUGCAUAGAUAUCGCGCAGAACUCCGAUGGCGAAGGCAGCAUGCCGGCUCCACACUGACGCUGAGGCACGAAAGCGUGGGUAUCGAACAGGAUUAGAUACCCCUGUAGUC
rnacentral:rRNA from 1 species